GACGAACGCUGGCGGCGUGCUUAACACAUGCAAGUCGAACGAAGUGGCGAAUGGGUGAGUAACGCGUAAUCAACCUGCCCUUCAGAGGGGGACAACAGUUGGAAACGACUGCUAAUAUCGCAUACUGAAGGAGGGGAUUGCGUCUGAUUAGCUAGUUGGAGGGGUAACGGCCCACCAAGGCGAGGAUCAGUAGCCGGACGGAGAGGAUGAACGGCCACAUUGGGACUGAGACACGGCCCAGAGUCCUACGGGAGGCAGCAGAGGGGAAACUGCCGGAAUGGACGAAAGUCUGACGGAGCAACGCGGCGUGAGUGAUGGCGGCCUUCGGGUUGGAGAGCUCUGUUAAUCGGGACGCGGUACCGGAAUAGAAAGCAACGGCUAACUACGUGCCAGCCGCCGCGGUAAUUC
rnacentral:rRNA from 1 species